UCCCUGGUGGCGGAUGGUAAAGCGUCUGCCUACAAUGCAGGAGACCCAGGUUCAAUCCCUGGGUCGGGAA
rnacentral:tRNA from 1 species